AGCGCCACGUGAUGAAGUUCCUCCAGCAACCGCUC
rnacentral:sRNA from 1 species